GGCGGGUGUGUCGAAAGAUGCAUGGGCCUUGCGGAUGAAACACUCCGCGAGAUCACCCGCCCCGCCGUUCCCGCGCUUCUUUUCUACCCGACAGACAAUCGCGUCUGCGCUUAACUGCCGCGGGCCGCGAGACUCUGUCCGUUUACCAUGAGGAAAUCAUAGUGUUCAAAGCAGGCAUUCUCUUUGCAGUUGAAUACAUUAGCAUGGAAUAAUGAAAUAGGACUUUGGAGACUGACCCGCAGGGGGAGGUUGAUCCGUUUCGUUGGGCUCGAGGCCAAAGUAAUGACUAAUAGGGACAGUCGGGGGCAUCAGUACUUCAUGGCCAGAGGUGAAAUUCUAGGACUCAUGAAAGACUAACUUCUGCGAAAGCAUUUGCCAAGGAUGUUUUCAUUAAUCAAGAACGAAAGCUUGGGGAUCGAAGACGAUCAGACACCGUCCUAGUCCAAGCCUUAAACAAUCGCAAUUCGGGAUCGGAGGCCGUUACUCAAAGACUCCUCCGGCACCGCUAGGGAAACCAAAAUCUUUGGCGUCUUGGGGGAGUAUCGUCGCAAGGCAGAAACUUAAAGGAAUUGACGGAAGGGCACCACCAGGAGUGGAGCCUGCGGCUUAAUUUGACCCAACACGGGAAAACUCACCAGGUCCAGACAUGACUAGGAUUGACAGAUUGACAGCUCUUUCUUGAUUUUAUGGGAAGUGGUGCAUGGCCGUUCUAAGUUGGUGGAGUGAUCUGUCUACUUAAUUGUGAUAACGAACGAGACCUUAACCUGCUAAAUAGUUGGCGGAUUUUUUUACGAAAAUCCGUUCAUUGCAACUUCUUAGAGGGACUCUCCGGGUCGCACCGGAUGGAAGUUUGAGGCGAUAACAGGUCUGUGAUGCCCUUAGAUAACCUGGGCCGCACGCGCGCUACACUGAUGGAGCCAUCAAGUACUCCUAGGCCGGCAGGCCCGGGUAACCUUUUGAAACUCCAUCGUGCUGGGGAUAGACGCUUGCAAUUAUUCAUCUUCAACGAGGAAUUCCUUGUAGGGGCGUGUCAUCAGCACGCCCCGAAUACGUAACUGCCCUUUGUACACACCGCCCGUCGCUCCUACCGAUCGAAUGAUCCGGUGAAGUUUACAGACCCAGGUCCUCCUGGGCGAGAAAUCGCUCAGCGGAUUAGGGAAAGUUGCCUGAACCUUAUCAUUUAGA
rnacentral:rRNA from 1 species